rnacentral:ribozyme from 1 species
ACAAUGAUAAAAAACAUUGCAAAAGGAAGAUAACAUAUUAAAAAAAAAAAGGCAGAUCUAAAUUUCUAUUUCUUCCUUUUGCGGUUUCUUCCUAUUUGUUUUUUUUGCUUUUUACUUUUUC